UGUGACAAUUUUAUGUUUUUUCUAUAAAAGAAGACUACAUGCUGUUUAUUCAUAAAUUGGUUGGACCUCGUAAAAAUAAAGAUGAAGCUGUUGUUUCUUCCUGUCUUCCUUGCGGUUGUCGCUUGCACUGUUCAAUCCUGUAGGGAUUAUUGCUAUAGCAGAGGAAAGCGAUACCUAGUAGAUGAAACUUACUCGUUUGACAUUGGAUGCACUCGAUACACUUGUGAAUGCAGAUGCAAUGGGAUAAUUUACUGUCCCAAAAAUCUAACUAAGAAAAUACCCUGCGGAAGAAAACGAAGGAGCCAGAACCAGAUUGAUUGGAAAAGAUAGCGGAGUGGGGCGAUAACUAGUUGACAGAGAGUUGCUUUCGAUAUGACUUAAAAAUUGGAACGGAUCCUUCUACUGUUCAUCACUGAACAGAUACAUGUACUUGUUUAUAUACUAAAAUUAUCCUAUCAAAGCUGUUUUUUUUUAGAUUGAAUAAAAGGAUAUUACAGUGCACAAUACAA